AACUGUGAUGGCUCCGCCCUAGAGCAGAUAUGAUCUAUAAUCUCUAAAAAUAAAAAUAACUAUAUAUCAUAUUGGAUUAUCUAUGUAUCAGAAUAAAAUAACUAUGUAUCAUAUUGGAUUAACUAUGUAUCAGAAUAAAAUAACUAUAUAUCAUAUUUAUGUAACUGUAUAUCAUGAUACUUUAACUUUGUACCACAUUCAUAAAAGUAAUGUGGUAUUUUGUAUGCUUG
rnacentral:lncRNA from 1 species